ACUCCUACGGGAGGCAGCAGUGGGGAAUAUUGCACAAUGGGGGAAACCCUGAUGCAGCCAUGCCGCGUGUGUGAAGAAGGCCUUCGGGUUGUAAAGCACUUUCAGUAGGGAGGAAGGUAGUGUAGUUAACACCUGCACUAUUUGUACGUUACCUACAGAAGAAGCACCGGCUAACUCCGUGCCAGCAGCCGCGGGUAAUACGGGAGGGUGCGAGCGUUAAUCGGAAUUACGUGGGCGUAAAGCGCAUGCAGGCGGCCUGUUAAGUCAGAUGUGAAACGCCCGGGGUCUUAAACCGUCGGUAAUUGCUAUUUAGAAACUGGCAGGCUAGAGUCUUGUAGGAGGGGUUAGAAUUUCGAGGUGUAGCGGUAGAAAUGCGUAGAGAUCGU
rnacentral:rRNA from 1 species